GGAAAAUGGCGGGGCGUCAGCCGCGGUGAGAAGGGUGGGGAAAGCGUUAUCCGGAAUGACUGGGCGUAAAGCGCACGCAGGCGGCUGCUUAAGUCUGACGUAAAAUCGCCUGGGUUAACUGGGAGGGGGCGUUGGAAACUGAGUAGCGUGAGGCAGUGAGAGGGGUGUAGAAUUCCCGGUGUAGUGGUGGAAUGCGUAGAUAUCGGGAGGAAUACCAGAGGCGAAGGCGACACCCUGGCACUGACCUGACGCUCAUGUGCGAAAGCGUGGGGAGCGAACGGGAUUAGAUACCCGGUAGUC
rnacentral:rRNA from 1 species